UUAAUGACUCUCGGCAACGGAUAUCUCGGCUCUCGCAUCGAUGAAGAACGUAGCGAAAUGCGAUACUUGGUGUGAAUUGCAGAAUCCCGUGAACCAUCGAGUUUUUGAACGCAAGUUGCGCCCGAAGCCAUCUGGUUGAGGGCACGUCUGCCUGGGCGUCACGU
rnacentral:rRNA from 26 species